CUCGUAGGCGGCCGGCUAAGUCCGACGUGAAAUCCCCAGGCUUAACCUGGGAACUGCGUCGGAUACUGGCGGGCUUGAAUCCGGGAGAGGGAUGCGGAAUUCCAGGUGUAGCGGUGAAAUGCGUAGAUAUCUGGAGGAACACCGGUGGCGAAGGCGGCAUCCUGGACCGGUAUUGACGCUGAUGAGCGAAAGCUAGGGGAGCAAACGG
rnacentral:rRNA from 1 species